rnacentral:rRNA from 1 species
ACUCCUACGGGAGGCAGCAGUGGGGAAUAUUGCACAAUGGGCGCAAGCCUGAUGCAGCCAUGCCGCGUGUAUGAAGAAGGCCUUCGGGUUGUAAAGUACUUUCAGCAGUGAGGAAGGUGGUGUGUUAAUAGCGGCAUCAUUUGACGUUAGCUGCAGAAGAAGCACCGGCUAACUCCGUGCCAGCAGCCGCGGUAAUACGGAGGGUGCGAGCGUUAAUCGGAAUUACUGGGCGUAAAGCGCAUGCAGGUGGUUUGUUAAGUCAGAUGUGAAAGCCCGGGGCUCAACCUCGGAAUUGCAUUUGAAACUGGCAGACUAGAGUACUGUAGAGGGGGGUAGAAUUUCAGGUGUAGCGGUGAAAUGCGUAGAGAUCUGAAGGAAUACCGGUGCGAAGGCGGCCCCCUGGACAGAUACUGACACUCAGAUGCGAAAGCGUGGGGAGCAAACAGGAUUAGAUACCCUGGUAGGAUAGCG